rnacentral:lncRNA from 1 species
AGAGAGUGAGAAGUGAUGACGGUGAUCGUUGUCGCCGCGUCUUCUGUGGAACCCAAGCAGUGCCGAAGGAAGUCGCAAGGCUCUUCCCCGACCUUUUGCUCCUCUCCCUGCGCGAGAGAUCUAGGCUUACAUUGCUGUUAAGCCUCCAACAGCGGCAGCCAGAUGGUGCAGUGUUUUUGAAACAGGCUCUGAUAAAUCCACAAAGAGGACCUUUGAAGCAGCUGCUCACAUCGCAUCCGAAGUCAGAAGCAGCAGAAGAUGCAGUUUGGGACUCCGGCCCAUGGGAUUGUGUUAUCCACGUUUAAAGUGACUCCUCUCUUCUCAACGCAAUCUAGAUGAUCCCUCACAGUCUUGCCCAGAGGCUAACCUAGUAUCUAAGUUUCAAGCUUGAGACCAGUGGUGAGGUGGCUAUAUAACAUCGAAGUGGACCUGGCUCCAGGUUCUCCUGGCAGUUCUCAGUUUCUACCUGCUAAAGCUUAACAGUAUUCCACUGUGGUUGUCUUCUACCACUGGGCAAUUGUGUUGCUCCUGGUCUCUUGCUAUUGCAUAAAGUGUGCUCAUAGCUUUCAAGCACAAAAGAGAAAACUGAAUUAAAUCUACUCGGAUCCUCCACCCAUCCAUGUUUCUAUAGUUCACUCACUUGCUGGAACUUUGCCCUCUUCUACUUUAUGGUUAUUCUACUUUGCAUAAGGAAUAUGGCAAGAAGAACUCAGCUGUUCUAUUCAGAUGCUGAGAUCCAAAGUCCAGGUCUCUGCUGCAGCAGUACUCUGAUACACUGAACUCUGAUACAGCACUACUCUGAUACACUGAACUCUGAUACAGCAGUACUCGGAUACACUGAACUCUGAUACAGCAGUACUCGGAUACACUGAACUCUGAUACAGCACUACUCUGAUACACUGAACUCUGAUACAGCAGUACUCUGAUACACUGAACUCUGAUACAGCAGUACUCGGAUACACUGAACUCUGAUACAGCAGUACUCGGAUACACUGAACUCUGAUACAGCAGUACUCGGAUACACUGAACUCUGAUACAGCAGUACUCUGAUACACCGAACUCUGAUACAGCAGUACUCUGAUACACUGAACUCUGAUACAGCAGUACUCUGAUACACCGAACUCUGAUACAGCAGUACUCGGAUACACUGAACUCUGAUACAGCAGUACUCUGAUACACCGAACUCUGAUACAGCAGUACUCGGAUACACUGAACUCUGAUACAGCAGUACUCUGAUACACUGAACUCUGAUACAGCAGUACUCUGAUACACUGAACUCUGAUACAGCAGUACUCGGAUACACUGAACUCUGAUACAGCAGUACUCGGAUACACUGAACUCUGAUACAGCAGUACUCGGAUACACUGAACUCUGAUACAGCAGUACUCUGAUACACUGAACUCUGAUACAGCAGUACUCUGAUACACUGAACUCUGAUACAGCAGUACUCGGAUACACUGAACUCUGAUACAGCAGUACUCGGAUACACUGAACUCUGAUACAGCAGUACUCGGAUACACUGAACUCUGAUACAGCAGUACUCGGAUACACUGAACUCUGAUACAGCAGUACUCGGAUACACUGAACUCUGAUACAGCAGUACUCGGAUACACUGAACUCUGAUACAGCAGUACUCGGAUACACUGAACUCUGAUACAGCAGUACUCUGAUACACUGAACUCUGAUACAGUUCUUCAGUACAGAGCCAUCUCUAGCCUCUCUGACUUGGUUGUCUGUGUCUGCAGGACCUCAGAUUGUACCUGCCCCCCAGCCUUGAGCAGCCCACCUAGAGGGUGGAGUCUUCUGACCUUGGUGGAGUCUAUUGUAUGCCGCAUCUGCAGCUUCCUGUAAGAAGCCACUACUUGCUGAGCAGCUGAGUUUUCCUUCCAGAUGAGAUUCUGGCAAAGUAGGGGAUAGGCUCCCCACCCCCGCCCUUUAAAUUCAGACCUUAGAAUUAAAACAUUGAGCCUUGAUCAGAGAA